rnacentral:rRNA from 1 species
GAUGAACGCUCGCUACAGGCUUAACACAUGCAAGUCGAGGGGAAACGACAUCGAAAGCUUGCUUUUGAUGGGCGUCGACCGGCGCACGGGUGAGUAACGCGUAUCCAACCUGCCCAUCACUUGGGAAUAACCUUGCGAAAGUAAGACUAAUACCCAAUGACAUCCCACGAAGACAUCUGAAUGGGAUUAAAGAUUUAUCGGUGAUGGAUGGGGAUGCGUCUGAUUAGCUUGUUGGCGGGGUAACGGCCCACCAAGGCAACGAUCAGUAGGGGUUCUGAGAGGAAGGUCCCCCACAUUGGAACUGAGACACGGUCCAAACUCCUACGGGAGGCAGCAGUGAGGAAUAGUGGUCAAUGGGCGAGAGCCUGAACCAGCCAAGUAGCGUGCAGGAGGACGGCCCUAUGGGUUGUAAACUGCUUUUAUAAGGGAAUAAAGUGGGUCUCGUGAGACUUUUUGCAUGUACCUUAUGAAUAAGGACCGGCUAAUUCCGUG